rnacentral:tRNA from 1 species
AAUAAAAUGGCUGAAAUUUUAAGCGAUAAAUUGUAAAUUUAUUUAUGAGGGUAAAUCUCUUUUAUUA